rnacentral:lncRNA from 1 species
UGGAAAUUUUCCAGAAAGAAAAGAUGAGAGGGAUGGGAGGCAAGAUAUGAAGAUGAAAUAUUAUUUAUCCUAUUUAUUAAAUUUAAAAAGCUUUCUCUUUAAGUUGCUACAAUUUAAAAAUCAAGUAAGCUACUCUAAAUCAGUAUCAGUUGUGAUUAUUUGUUGUCUGAUGUAUUUUCUGCACUUAUUGGUAUAGAGGUUAUUGAUACAGAAGUUAAUUCUUGACUUUAGAGUUUCCAGUGGUAACCUUCCUAGCCCUAGGAUAGAAAGUAACUCCUUGGACUAUGGAAGAGAAGUCCGAGAGGAGAGGAUGAUGGCAGACACUACUGAGUUCCCUGGAGAAGAGCUCUCUGCCUGGCCCCCAGCAGAGCCUCAGGGUAGAGGGCAGAACUCCUGGGGAGGGUAGAA